rnacentral:lncRNA from 1 species
CUCUAAACAGGUUAGGUUAUUGUUAGGUCUAGUGUUAGAGUUAGAGUUUGUCUUGUUCAAAUUUCUUUGAUACUGGGAAGGAUACAUUUUUACCUAGCCUUACUAUGUUCCCCAGGUUUCGGCCUUCUCGGUUCAAUUCUUUGCUGCCAGGAACAAUUUGUAUUUUAUGGAUUCACUUCAUUUUGAUGUACAUGGGUAAAUGGACAUGGAGCUGGAAAUUA